AGCGUUGCUCGGAAUCACUGGGCGUAAAGCGCACGUAGGCGGAUUGCUAAGUCAGGGGUGAAAUCCUGGAGCUCAACUCCAGAACUGCCCUUGAUACUGGCGACCUCGAGUCCGGGAGAGGUGAGUGGAACUGCGAGUGUAG
rnacentral:rRNA from 1 species